UACGGGGGGGGCAAGCGUUGUUCGGAAUUACUGGGCAUAAAGGGCUCGUAGGCGGCCAACUAAGUCAGACGUGAAAUCCCCAGGCUCAACCUGGGAACUGCGUCUGAUACUGGAUGGCUUGAAUCCGGGAGAGGGAUGCAGAAUUCCAGGUGUAGCGGUGAAAUGCGUAGAUAUCUGGAGGAAUACCGGUGGCGAAGGCGGCAUCCUGGACCGGCAUUGACGCUGAGGAGCGAAAGCUAGGGGAGCAAACGGG
rnacentral:rRNA from 1 species